UACGGGGGGGGCAAGCGUUGUUCGGAAUUAUUGGGCGUAAAGGGUGCGUAGGUGGCGCGCUAAGUCGGGUGUGAAAUUUCGGAGCUUAACUCCGAAACUGCAUUCGAUACUGGUGUGCUUGAGGACUGGAGAGGAGACUGGAAUUCAUGGUGUAGCAGUGAAAUGCGUAGAGAUCAUGAGGAAGACCAGUGGCGAAGGCGGGUCUCUGGACAGUUCCUGACACUGAGGCACGAAGGCCAGGGGAGCAAACGGG
rnacentral:rRNA from 1 species